CUGCCCCAGAGCCCUGCAGAGCGAGCAGCGGGUGAUGCGCAGUGCGCUCGGAGGAUGGGCAUGGCAGGUCAUCGUGGGACAAUGUGGCUUCUUCCCACUGUCCUCCUUUUCCUUCAGAUGAGGCAGACAGUCAGUCAUACCAAGUGAUGCAAGGUCAACUUGAGAACUGUGAGCAGCUCUGAAAAACUGAAGAUGGAGGAAUCAUAAGUCCCUGUGCUGCUGGCUGUGCCCUGGGCAAUGACAAAACCUGUGUUUCUUUAGGGAUGGCAGACAAGGAAAGGUAAGAGCCAAUGCACAGAGUGGACAAAAUGUAUGGCCAUGCUGAAUUGGAUACAGAAACUUUCAGCAGCAACAGUUUCAAUUUGGAGGAACCUGUCACAUUUUCUGAGGAUGUUGUCCUGGAAGAUUCUGCUAGAUAUAUUCUUGUGGAAGAGGUUUUACACUGACUUCUGUGAGCCAGAGAGAAGUUUGAUAAGAGGAUCCAUGUUUACCCCUGAAAGAAUUUUCUACCAAGGCAGUUGACAUAAAGACCAAGAAAGAAGGAUAAAUAAGAGAAAUCUGUAACUGCCUGUUCCAAUAAACACUUUGUUUGUCUUUACUGACCAAUGAGAAAAGUGUAAAUUUAUGAGUCUUGUAAGAAUGUAUAAAAAGCAUGCAUGUUCUAAUAAAACUGGGUUUGAAGCCUUCUGAAAA